UGUGGAAAAAUAUCACUUUUAAUGACAUAAAAAAGAUACAGAAGGCAUACCUUCUAAACCUAAAAUGGCUCAUAUACAUUCAGAUUAUGCAUUCAUUACUAGGAUGUUUGGGUUAAACAAACUUGAUCUUUCCCUCCAUUUAGGAUCAGCAAUACAUAUUCACCACAUGAUAUACAGCAGCAUAUGCUGCCAUUAACUAUACAUUUCCAAAAUAAUUUAUUCCUCUCUCGCUAUCACAGGAAUAUAAAAGUCAUCAUUAAAUUGUACAGUAACAUAAAAACAGUUGCAGCAGAUCCAUGUACUAUGCCUCCUUCAAAGAGCCUACAGUACAGCACAUGCAGUUAGUCAUAAAAUGUGAUAAAGAAAGUAACUGAAGAGUUUCAACAUUAAAAAUGUUCAUUUGUUACACUCUACAAUAAUAAAAAUGUUUUAAUAAUAACAUUAUCUGUUUUAGGGAGACAGUUGUACAAUCAAGGCAGUGCCUUGGUCCAGGUUCACACACACUGUGUAGGGUGAUCAUCUUAAUAUCUGAAGGCUUGAAGAACUCCGCGAUUAUUUCUUCUUCUGAGAGGAGAGAAAGACAAAAACAAAGGCUCUGUUGACUUAGCCAGCUGUAGGUCUGAUGAUUUAGGCACCCAAAGAGCAGGAAUGAAUGGUAGAGAAAUGGAAAGGACUUGUUAACACUACACCUUGAUCAAGAGGAGGAUAAUAGCUUCUGUACCUUUUUAGAAAGGGUCUCUGUGGGGGCUGGAGGGUCUUGUACAGGCAGGUCUUGGACGGGACUGACCAGUAUCUCACUCACUGCAGUCUUCUCUGAAAGCUUCAGCUUCUUCUCUGUAUUAUAAUAAUUUUUUUUUACACAAAGACAAUCAGAAAUCAUAAGUAUAAAAAUAUGUAAACAUUUCUUUUACUCUCUGAAACAACCUUUUUAGCGUAGGUCACUUACUUUUCUUCUCUGUUUGCAGAUGAGGUACUACUGUGGUGGAUGGAGGUGGUAAAUCCUGGUCAAAGCUGUUUACUUUGGUCUUCUCUUUUUUCUUAUGUUUUUCUAGUUCUUUCUCUGUCUCAUUCGUCUCGUCUGUUUUUUUCUUCUUCUUUUUCUUCCUCUUCUUUUCUACUUCAUUCUCGUUCUCCUUACUUACCUCCUCUGGUUUCUUGAUUUUCAGUUCUUUUUCCAUCUCAUUGUCCUUGCAUAUCUUCUCAGUUUUUUUCUUAACCUUACUCUCUGUACUUAUUGUCUCCAGUUUCGACUUAAUUUCCUUUUUACUUUUUUCCACUCCAUUUUCCUUCGUUGUCUCUGCUUUCUUCACCUUUGACUUAGAUUUAUUAUUUUCCUUGGCCUUUUUCUUUUUACCUGCCUUCUCUUCAUCUGCCUCCUUUUUCGUCUUCUUAGAUUCUAAUGAAAUGUCAAGGUGGACAUUUUCAUUUUUCCUCUUUCCUUUCUUUUUUCCACUAGGUGUUGGGGUGCCGGGCAUUGAGAGUGACGGUUGAAGUUCUAUAGUCGUUAGGUCAGCUGUAUUAUUAUUGUCAUCUGCUUGGCCUAUGGGGAACAUCAGUUGGGCUGAUGCCAUGGGAGGUGUGUCCUUCACGGCUCUACUAGACUUGGCUUUCCUAGGUUUUGGUUGUGUCUUGGUCUUCCCAUUCUGUUCAAUCCCACCUUCCUUCUCUUUUGUGGUGUUGACCUGUUUAGCAGGACUAGCCCUAGGUUUCGGUGUCUUCAGUGCAGCUUUAGCCCUGGGCUUCUUCAGUACUCCUAUUUUCUUCGCUGGAGAGGUGGGAGAAGGUACAGUUUUCAGAGCUGUGAUGGCAUCCAUCUUGGCGAUGUCAGUGUCUGUGGACAAAGGUGUGGGUAGAAAGCAAAAAUGUCAAUACCUCCUGAAUGUAAAAUAUAUCAUAUAGCUCUCUAUUCUGUUUUCCCCAAUUAAGUAAUUACAUGCUGAUGCUGUGUCUUCCAGCUGUUUUCAAGCUUUUGAGUCCUCUACUGCUCUUUUACUAACA
ensembl:lncRNA